CCAGUCCAGCAGGAUGGCAGUAGCUGUGGCGUCAUUGUCGUCUUGAUGGCAAGGGGAAUAAUGAAUGCAUUUCCAGCUGUUCCCGUUUUACAAUUUGGAACUUCCAGAAAGGAAAUGGGCAAUGAACGGAAAAUUAUGGCUCUGCAGAUACUCAAAGCAUCAGUGUUUGAUGAAGCCGAAAACUGUGCCAUGUGUUCACUUAAAAA